CACGUGUACAUGGGCCAUCUUAUUCUAUGACUACAAGCAAGUCACAAGUUUCUAGACCCAUUGGCAAUUCAUCUGAAUGACAGCAAUGCAAAGUGGGUUCCUUCUUUGCUCACCAGCUGAGAAAUAUGGAGAAGAGGAGGAGUCAAAGGGAAGCAAAACCCUAACCAGAUUCAAGUGAGCGACUGCUUGCCAGUCCUGGACAUCACAUGAAGAACAUCCCUGGGGAUUUUGAUUAUUUCAGUGGAACCUAAAUACGACACACCUAGACUCUGGCCUACCUUCCCCAUCCAUCAGUGCUGCGGGCACCAGUGACACAGGACAUCUGUCUGAGUGGGGACCAGCACAUUUUCUGAGAGAUGCAACAGCUUGUACUGAGUGACUUCAAACAGAUUCCCCCAACACUAUGUCUAAGGACUAUGUGUAUACAGGUGUCUGGAAAGAUGACUUGUAGGGCUGCAGGGGGUA